UUUUAUCAAGUUACUCCACGGCAAGUACUAAGGCAGCUAAUGUCAGUAGUAGCUUUUGUAGAAUUAUGUGACGUAUGAGAGGAAUAAGGUAGUUAGUUAGCUGGUAGUCAGUCAGGUGUUAGCUGUAGAUACUAGCCUAAUCUCAGCCUAUAAUAGUAGUAAUUAGUAGCCUAAUUUCAGCCUAUAAUAGUAGUAAUUAGUAUUCUAGAUUAAUGGGAUUAUGAUGUGGUAGGUAGAGCCUAUGUAAUUACCUAAUUUAGGACCAUUCCUAUUGCAUAAGUAGGCAGUAUUCUAAUGAAUAAAUCAUCAUUCACUCAAUAAUUCUAUAUGGUAUCAGAGCCCUGAUCCAUUUCCACCUCCUCUCCCUCUCAAAAAUCCCGACCACUCAUCUCUGUCACCAUGCCUGAAGAAGUUCCAGCCAUGGACAAUUCUGAAGCAAUCUCAGGUUCUGCCACAACCCAGAGAAGCAGCUCACAGUCGCAAUCCUCUGCCAUUUCAGACUCCGUCGUUGGCUGUAUCACCAAUCACAGACUCAACGGCAAUAACUACCUGCAAUGGUCAUCCUCCGUUCUCAAGUUCAUUUCAGGAAAGGGCAAGAAAGGAUACCUCACUGGAAAGACAGUUCAGCCAGUGGAAGAGGAUCCAGCCUUCAUCACAUGGGAUAUUGAGGACAACAUGGUCCAAUCAUGGCUGCUCAAUUCCAUGAAUACCUCAAUCGGAGAAAAGUUUCUCCUUCAUAAAACUGCUUACGAGAUUUGGGAAAGUGUUCGCCACACAUACUCGAAGCAGGAGAACAAUGCAGAACUGUUUGACCUGGAAAUCCGCCUACACAAUCUAAACCAGGGAGAGAAGACUGUCACACAGUACUAUGAUGAGUUAAGUAAGUACUGGUUACAACAAGACAUGUAUGACGUGCAUAUUUGGACCUGCAACCAGGACUCAGAACUCUAUCCACAGAUCCUGACAACAAAAAGGACUAUCUGAUUCCUCCUGGGCCUCAAUCAAGAGCUUGAUGAAGUAAGAGGAAGAAUCAUGGGACGAACUCCUUUACCUAGAGCCAAGGAUGUUUUUGCUGAAGUCCACUGAGAAGAAAGUCGUCGAAGGAUCAUGACUUUUGCUGAAGUCCGCUAGGAAGAAAGUCGUCGAAGGAUCAUGAUCACCGACACUAAACCAACUACUGAGGGAUCUGCCCUUGCCAGUUAGUACAUCGGCAGCUCUGAAGGGCGAGGCUACACCAAGUCUGGAAAACCAAGACCUUAUUGCACUCACUGCAACAAGACAGGUCACACCAAAGAGACGUGCUGGAAGCUGCACGGAAAGCCUGCUGACUGGAAACCUAAAGCAGAGAGGGAGGCUCAGGCCCACGCUGCUGCCACUGAACAAGCCAGCACUGUAGCCCAGCUAACUAGGGAACAGUUAGAAAUCCUUCAGCAGAUGAUGUCUCACUACACAGCAAGAAAGUCAUCCACAGGUGCCUCUGAAAAUUCCACUAGUCUGUUUGCUAGCCAAGGUAGAUUACCUACUGCCCUUUUAGCACUUAAUCAGUUUAAAACGAAUUGGAUUCUUGAUUCUGGGGCUACUGAGCAUAUGACGGGCUCAAGGGAUCUGAUUCACAAAAUUAAGCCACAUAUAGGAGUGGCAGGAGUUAGGAUUGCAGAUGGAACCAUAGCCCCAGUCGAAGGGGUUGGAACAACCUAUCUGUCUCCUACAACAGUCUUGUUCCCUGUUCUUUACAUUCCAAAACUCAAUUGCAAUCUCAUUUCAGUUAGUCAACUUACAAGAGAUUUCAACUGUAAAUUGAUGUGCGACUCCUCUCAAUGCAUUUUACAGGAGGAGGGAUCUCAAAGGACGAUUGGCAAGUUUGAGCUGUGUGGUGGUCUGUACCUUCUAAAGACUAUCCAAGGAGAAGAGGUUCCAAAGUCAGUGCAUUUCCGUUCCAAGUUGAGUCAGUUAGAGUGCCCUAUCAUGCUCAAAGGAAAUAUGUACUGGAUUUGUUAGAGGAGACAGGGAUGAGUGGCUGCAAACCUGCAAGCACACCUAUGGAGCCAAAUUUGAAGUUUGAUCAGGAUCCAGAUGUAGCUCCUGUAGAAAGGGGGAGCUAUCAGAGAUUAGUAGGAAAACUGAUAUAUUUGGCUCACACUCGACCUGACAUUUCAUUUCCUGUCAGCAUUGUGAGUCAAUAUAUGCAUAGUCCAAAUGCUGAACAUAUGGAGGCUGUGAUGCGAAUCCUUAGGUACCUAAAAGGUACACCUGGAAUUGGAUUGUACUUCCAGAAACAUUCAGAACGAGCUAUAUCUGUGUAUACAGAUGCUAGCUAGGCGGGGGAAUUAACAAAUCGUCGCUCCACUUCAGGGUACUGCACCUAUGUAUGGGGAAAUCUUGUUACAUGGCGCUGUAAGAAACAAUCAGUGGUCUCUCGGAGCAGUGCAGAAGCAGAAUACAGGGCAUUGGCAGAAGGGAUAUGUGAAGGAGUUUGGCUGAAAAGAAUCCUUCAGGAAUUGAGGAUGGACACCCAAGGUUCUGUCAAGUUAUUAUGUGACAGUCAAGCAGCACUAAGUAUUGUGAGAAAUCCAGUUCAUCAUGAUCGAACCAAACACGUUGAACUGGAUAGACAAUUUAUUUCUGAGAAGGUGACCAGCAAUGAGUUCGAGAUGUCAUAUGUUCCUUCUAGACUACAAACGGCCGACAUUCUGACAAAGGGCCUCGCACGAGACAUGCUUGAGAAGCUUCAGUGUAAGCUUGGCCUUAAAAAUAUUUACAGCCAAGCUUGAGGGGGAGUGUAGAAUUAUGUGACGUAGGAGAGGAAUAAGGUAGUUAGUUAGCUGGUAGUCAGUCAGGUGUUAGCUGUAGAUACUAGCCUAAUCUCAGCCUAUAAUAAUAGUAAGUAGUAUCCUAGAUUAAUGGGAUUAUGAUGUGGUAGGUAAAGCCUAUAUAAUUACCUAAUUUAGGACCAUUCCUACUGCAUA
rnacentral:lncRNA from 1 species